CAGUCGCCGCGGUAAUACAGAGGGUGCAAGCGUUAAUCGGAAUUACUGGGCGUAAAGCGCGCGUAGGUGGUUUGUUAAGUUGGAUGUGAAAUCCCCGGGCUCAACCUGGGAACUGCAUCCAAAACUGGCAAGCUAUAGUAUGGUAGAGGGUGGUGGAAUUUCCUGUGUAGCGGUGAAAUGCGUAGAUAUAGGAAGGAACACCAGUGGCGAAGGCGACCACCUGGACUGAUACUGACACUGAGGUGCGAAAGCGUGGGGAGCAAACAGGAUUAGAUACCCCCGUAGUCCCUGUCUUUAUACA
rnacentral:rRNA from 1 species